rnacentral:rRNA from 1 species
UUAUAUUCUGUAGCAAGGUUAACCGUAUAGGGGAGCCGGAGGGAAACCGAGUCUUAAUUGGGCGUUAAGUUGCAGGGUAUAGACCCGAAACCCGGUGAUCUAGCCAUGGGCAGGUUGAAGGUUGGGUAACACUAACUGGAGGACCGAACCGACUAAUGUUGAAAAAUUAGCGGAUGACCUGUGGCUGGGGGUGAAAGGCCAAUCAAACCGGGAGAUAGCUGGUUCUCCCCGAAAGCUAUUUAGGUAGCGCCUCGUGAAUUCAUCUCCGGGGGUAGAGCACUGUUUCGGCUAGGGGGCCAUCCCGGCUUACCAACCCGAUGCAAACUGCGAAUACCGGAGAAUGUUAUCACGGGAGACACACGGCGGGUGCUAACGUCCGUCGUGAAGAGGGAAACAACCCAGACCGCCAGCUAAGGUCCCAAAGUCAUGGUUAAGUGGGAAACGAUGUGGGAAGGCCCAGACAGCCAGGAUGUUGGCUUAGAAGCAGCCAUCAUUUAAAGAAAGCGUAAUAGCUCACUGGUCGAGUCGGCCUGCGCGGAAGAUGUAACGGGGCUAAACCAUGCACCGAAGCUGCGGCAGCGA